UACGGAGGGAGCUAGCGUUGUUCGGAAUUACUGGGCGUAAAGCGCGCGUAGGCGGCUUUGUAAGUUAGAGGUGAAAGCCCGGAGCUCAACUCCGGAACUGCCUUUAAAACUGCAUCGCUUGAAUCCAGGAGAGGUGAGUGGAAUUCCGAGUGUAGAGGUGAAAUUCGUAGAUAUUCGGAAGAACACCAGCGGCGAAGGCGGCUCACUGGACUGGUAUUGACGCUGAGGUGCGAAAGCGUGGGGAGCAAACAGG
rnacentral:rRNA from 1 species